rnacentral:rRNA from 1 species
AGACUUCCAGAGCCUGGAUGGUUGCUUCGGGAAACUUACAUACAGGCUGCUGCAUGUGCUGUCGUCAGCUCGUGUCGUGAGAUGUUGGGUUAAGUCCCCGGCAACGGAGGGCAACCCUUUUCCUUAUUUGCCAGCGAGUAAUGUCGGGAACUUUAAGGAUACUGCCAGUGACAAACUGGAGGAAGGCGGGGACGACGUCAAGUCAUCAUGGCCCUUACGGCCAGGGCUACACACGUGCUACAAUGGUCGGUACAAAGGGUUGCUACCUAGCGAUAGGAUGCUAAUCUCAAAAAGCCGAUCGUAGUCCGGAUUGGAGUCUGCAACUCGACUCCAUGAAGUCGGAAUCGCUAGUAAUCGCGGAUCAGAAUGCCGCGGUGAAUACGUUCCCG